rnacentral:rRNA from 1 species
CGUGUAGGCGGCCAAGCAGGUCCGUUGUGAAAACUGGAGGCUUAACCUCCAGACGUCGACGGAAACCGCGCGGCUAGAGUCCGGAAGAGGAGAGUGGAAUUCCUGGUGUAGCGGUGAAAUGCGCAGAUAUCAGGAAGAACACCAAUGGCGAAGGCAGCUCUCUGGGACGGUACUGACGCUGAGACGCGAAAGCGUGGGGAGCGAACA